rnacentral:lncRNA from 1 species
AUGUUCCCACAGGUGUGCUGUUCCUGCCAGACUUCUAGAAGCAGUGUAAACGGGGUGCUCAUUCAUGAGACGCAGGCCAGCUGGAAACAUGAGUUCUGUCCUGGAUCAGGCGAGAGGCAGGGGCAAAUGGGAGGAGCCAGCAGGGCGCACAGGAGACCACUGAGAUGCACCUCUGCUCAGAGACCUGGCUGGGCAGCAAGGAGGAGUCUGGAGGGAGGGUCCGAGGACAGCGAACCAGCCUGGGCUGCUAGAGGGGGCCUGGCAAGGAGGGCUUCCGGGGGGAGCACCUGUGGGAGUCUGCUUCCUGACCCCAGGGAGCAAGAGGUGGCCUCCCUCCCUCCAGGUCCCCCGAGCCAGGCUGAGCCAGCUGCUAGGGGCACGGAGCGGUGCCCAAUCUGCGCCCAGUGUGGAAGGAGCUCAGUGUACAGCACCAGCACCCGCAUCAUGGCCCGCGGCCCUUUGCCGGUGAUCAGUGUCCCAAGAGCUUCACACAGCCAGCCACCCUCGCCAGCCACUACCAGGCGCACGCGGCCGAGUGCACCUACACCUGCCCCCAAAGUGGCAAGACCUUCGUCCACCGGGUCACGCUCACCCACUACUGCAGGCACACCGGGGAGAAGCCCUGCGAGUGUGCUGAGUGUGCCUGUCCACGCUGUUGGAGCACUGGCGCAUGCACAGGGGCGAGCGGCCCUUCCAGUGCACACAGUGUGGCCACUGCUUCGGCCGUUGUCCACAUUGCUGGAGCACCCGCGCAUGCGCACCAGCGAGAAGCCCUUCCAGUGAGUGCAGUGUGACAAGCACUUCAGACGUCUGGCCAACCUGACUGUGCACCAGAGUGUGUAUUCGGGCGAGCGCGCCUUCCAGUGUGCCCAGCGACUCACGCAGAAGCCCAGCUUCCUGCCCCACCUGUGCGGCCACUCGCAGGAGAAGCACUGUCCUUGCGGCCAGUGUGGCGACAGUGUCACCUAUCCCUCCUGGCUUGUGCAUCACCAGGGCAGCCAUGCCGAUCAGGCCUCUCCAUCUUGCCAGGUUUGUGAGAGGGAAUCCCCGACCCACGAACUCCCCACAGGCCUCCUCAGGGGUGUAGCGUAGGGGAACGCCCCUAGUGAUUCUUCUGCCACACUCAGAUUUGAGGGACAGAGCUGGGCCUCAAGGGGACAGGCAGCAAAGUGGUGGUGAUCAGGAAGGUCUAGGGGGGUCCUUUGCACAGUCCUCUUUCUCAUGUGGAGAUGGAGAAUGUGGGUAGCACCCAGAGAGCUCCCUAAAGGGGCUCUGAGGGCACAGGGGCAGUUGGUGCCCCUUCAAUCCAAGGAGCCUCUCCCGAAGGGCACUUCUUGGCCAGGUCACAGUAUUCUGCACUGUGGUCUUGGCCUCCCAGGGGAGGGCCAUUCUCCCAGGCUCUGUGGUUGCCCACGGGGCUGCUCACUGCAGGGAGGCGUGCAGGGAGGCAGGGAUGCGGUUGGGGUGGAGGCCAGUCCCAAACACCUGAGCCUCACUGAGCGGAAGGCCUGUACUGGGAGGGGGAUGGGCAGAAGUGGCCGCCUUUGCCUUGUUCUAUUAGGGGAGUGAUUUUCAGAGACGAAGGUCCCAGUUAGGAGAUGUCAUUACUCAGUGCUUUGAAGGGACAUCCAAGGUGCUCAGCCUUAGCCAUAGCCCUUGGUCUCCUGAACGCUGAUUGUGCAGAUCCUGAAGUGCUUCCUAGGGUGGGCGGUGGCGGCGGGAGGCCCUGGACAGAGUCCCGGCCAGCCCCAGCCCCAGCGUCCCUCAGAUUCAAAUCUUGAGCUUGGUGAGUUGUAAGAUUUCAUGGAAACUCCCUGACUUCUGCCUCUCCCUUGCCCCUCAUUACCUGGGAAGGCAGCUCUGUGGGCCGUGUGUCUCAGAAGUGCCUGGGCUGGCUGUGGCCCAGUGCUUAGGACCAGCCAUCUUGGCCCCCACAGGGCACUCUCCAGUGGUGUAAGAUUUGCCCUCAAGCCAUUGUUGGAGCAGGCAGGCAAAGGGGCUUUCUGAGGAUCCAGCCUGUGCCAGCCACUGGGAUACAAAGGAGACUGAGGCCUGGAUCCUAGCUGUGGGGCUGGGAGGGGCAUCUGGCAUCAAUGGUGGCACCUGGCAGGGAACACAUCGACACUAGCAGGCAGCAUGGGCUGCAGUAAAUGUGCAGAUGCACCUAAAGGUUGAGCAGAAGGGAGGAAGGAAACCUGGACGUGGCCUGCCGGCAGCUCACAAGCCCCCUGAGAUCCUGGCGGCCCGCCACCAUCUGAAGAUUUAGGCCAAUCACUUGGGCUUUUCAGGCGGGCCCUUAUGGUGGCCCUCCCAUUUUGAUACAUUGAGUUCCCCCUCAGCUUGAUCCUCCCCUAGAUCCUUGGCUGUCAGAUAAUCCCCUGUCCCGACCUCCUCCCCACUCAACCCCCAGUACUUGAUACGAAUGCAUGUGUGCUUCCAAGGACUAGAGGCCAGUGCUGUCUCUACCAUUGCCCUUGCUCUGCGGCGGUGGGGCACGAGCAGAUGGUAGCAAGCUCUGGAGAGCAGCACUCCAGUAUGAUGGUAUCUGGUGAUGCAGCCAAUAGGAAAUGUAGGCUUAGGUGAUGAGGUCAUUAGGGUGGGGCCCUCACAAUGGAAUCGGUGCCCUUACAGGAAGACAAGUGAGGUGCUCUGGCACUGCCCCCUGGACUUUCGCAUUGGUAGUUUGAGUUGGUUUUUAUUGGAAGCUCUGCGAUUUACUAUAAUCACUUACAACCUCUGUAAAUAUGGAACUAUUUAUGAGGAAUUGUAAAUUUCCUCUCUCCCCUUUCUUACCUUGUCCGUGAUUGUUCUUGUUUGUGAUACGGUAAUGGUAUUCAAUUCCAGGUUCCCAUGAUCAGUGGUGAAAUACAGUGAUUCUCACAUGUGCUUCCAUUCUGAAGUUCUGAAAAGAAGUACUGGAUGGACUGAAGUCCAGGACAACAUCCCAAAGAAAGGGAGAGUCCAGGCGGGCUUGGAGGGCCAGCCUGUCAACGCCUGGAGGGCAGAGGCCUCAGUGUCUAAUAUUGUGCCCUACACGUGGAAAGCCCCUAUGUUUGUGGAAUGAAUGAAUAACAAUGUUUUCAUAAGUGGUGCCAUUCUCAAUUUUAAUUUCAUCGAUCUGAUAAUGCAAAUUUUAACAACACAUCUUUACCACUUCCUGCCUUAAAUAAUAGUUGUUAAUACAUUUCUUGUAUUUCAUUGACUCUAAAAUCCAUUGAUUGUAAGACACAUCCUUAUUUUCUAUUUUACUAAGCAAGGAAAAAAUGUGUCAAUUUCACUAUGAUUCUUCUCAGUGCAGGAUGAAAACUAGCUAGGUGGUGACAUGUCAGCCACUGUUACUAUUCUUGACAAUGUCAGAUCAAAUGAUUCAUUUCUUUCUUGAGACAAGGAGUGCAGUGGCACAGUCAUGGCUCACUGCACCCUUGACCUCCCAGGGCUCGGGUGAUCCUCCCACUUCAGCCACUAUAGCUGAGAUUACAGGUGCAUGCCACCAUGGCUGGCCAAUUUAUUUUUUUGGUAGAAACUAGGUUUCACCAUGUUGCCCAGACUGGUCUUGAACUCUUGGGCUCAGGUGAUCUGCCUACUUCAUUCUCCCAAAGUGCUGGGAUUACAGGAGUGAGCCACUGCACCCAGCCAAAUGAUUCUUUUUUUUUUUUGAGACAGAGUCUGGCUCUGUCACCAGGCUGGAGUACAGUGGCACAGUCGGCUCACUGCAACCUCUACUUCCUGGAUUCAAGCAAUUCUCCUGCCUCAGCCUCCUGAGUAGCUGGGACUACAGGCACGUGCCACUACACCCAGCUAAUUUUUUGUGUUUUAGUAGAGACAGGGUUUCACCAUGUUGGCCAGGAUGGUCUUGAUCUCCUGACCUCAUGAUACACCCGCCUUGGCCUCCAAAGUGCUGGGAUUACAGGCGUGAGCCACUGUGCCUGGUGAUUCAUUUUUAACAAAGGUCUUAGAAGUGUAAAAGUGAACCCAGAACAGCAUUGGGUCCUAUCAAGAUGGGCUACCAAUACAUCAGAUCCUAGACAGUUCUUGAAUUUGGAAUCCCAUCAUUUCUCUUGGCACGAGGGAGCUCAGUUUUGUCACAGCAGCUCCCAUCGUCAACCCCAGCUACAGACAAAUCACCUGGAGACAACUGUGCCUCCUUCACCUUAAUAAGAUGAGGCACCUCUUGCAGGGAGGGUCCUCUGCUCCUUAGGCCCUCUGCUCUCAUGUAGCAAAUUUAUUCUAGGAUUCUGCUAUGUGCCAAAUUGUGCUCCCCCACAAAUUCAUAUGUUGAAGCCCUGACCUCCAGUAUGAUGGUAUUUGGUGAUGCAGCCAAUGGGAAAGGUAGGCUUAAGUGAUGAGGUCGUUAGGGUGGGGCCCUCACGUGGAAUUGGCGCCCUUACAGGAAGACAAAGAGACACCAGAACUCCCUGUCAUGCGAGGACCGAAGAGCAUCCUCACCAGGACCUGGGCAUGCUGGCACCCUCAUGUCAGCCUCCAGUACUGCCAUGAAUUUCUGGUGUUUAAGCUGCCCAGUGUAUGGAUAUUUUGGUAAGGCAGCCUGAGCUGACCAAGACAAGUUCCUUCCCCCAAGAGCUUCCUGAUCCUGAGGCGUCCAUGCCAGUGCCCUCUCCAGCUCACAUCCAUCCUCUCCCCAAUGAUCCAGGGCCCCGUGUUGCUCUGAUGGUGGCUGACUCGGGGUCGUGGUUUGAAUCGUAUCCUCCCAAAGAUACACUCAAGUCCUAAUCUUCAGUACCUGUGAGCAUGACCUAAGUUGGAAAUAGGGGUUUUGCAGAUAUAAUUAAGUUAUAAGUUCACAUGAGGUCACACUGGAGUAGGACGGGCCCUUAGUCCAGUGUGGCUGGUGUCCUUAUAAGAGGAGAAUGCCACAUGAAAGGCACAGAUGUGGAAGGACAUCGUGUGACGGUGGCGUGAGAUUGGAGGGACGUGUCUGCAGGUCAAGGAAGAGUGGUUGCUGGGGAUGCCAGAAGCCAGGAGAGGGACGCGGAACAGAUUCUCCCUUGGAGGCUUCCUCCAGGUGAGAGGCAGCUGUUCCGUUUUCUCCUGGCAGGAGUAAGGAGAAAACAGAAUAGCUUUUCUGCCCUCAGCCCUGCUUUACCAUCUGGAAAGUGUAGGGUGGGGUGGGGUGGGGUUUUUGUUUCUCAGGCUUGUCUAUCCAAAUCUCCUCAUCUUGGACCCCAAGUCCCACUGUCCUACGUGGGCUCUGAUUCUGACCUGGGCCGCCCGUUGCUGUCCCUUGUCUCCUUCCAGCCUUCUGCGCAGACUGCCCCAUGGCUCCAGGAUGUGAGACCUCUUUCAAAGCUGCCCUAAACCUUCUGGUGUUCAGUUGAUCUUAGCUGGGAGUUGACUGUCCUAAGCCUGCUGUUUCAUUUACGCAAAGCAUUGAUGCUGUGAAUGGAAGUGAGACCCCUCACCAUCCUCAUUUUUAUCAUUGCCCCAUACCAGGCAUUGGCAACUGCAGCUUCCAGCCGAAUCUGGCAGCUGUGUAAUUUUCAA